AGAGCUGCAAGAAGCACCAGGCUCGGCCACUUCAGAAGCCCCAGCCUCGACCUAGCCCACCCUCUCAGGGCCACAGUGCAGAAGCCUGCACACCUGCCAAGUCUCUCCGACUCCUUGCAGCUGCUGUCAGCAUGGCCCAGGCUCCUGCUGACCCGGGCAGAGAAGGCCACCUUGAACAAAGAAUCCUGCAGGUGCUGACAGAGGCUGGCUCCCCGGUGAAACUUGCCCAGCUGGUGAAGGAAUGCCAAGCACCCAAGAGGGAGCUCAACCAAGUCCUCUACCGAAUGAAAAAGGAGUUGAAAGUCUCCCUCACAUCCCCUGCCACCUGGUGCUUGGGCGGGACUGAUCCUGAAGGCGAGGGUCCUGCAGAGCUGGCCUUGUCCAGCCCUGCCGAGAGGCCCCAGCAACAUGCAGCUACAAUUCCAGAGACCCCUGGCCCUCAGUUCAGCCAACAACGGGAGGAAGACAUCUACAGGUUUCUCAAAGACAAUGGUCCCCAGAGGGCCCUGGUCAUCGCCCAAGCACUGGGAAUGAGGACAGCAAAAGAUGUGAACCGAGACUUGUACAGGAUGAAGAGCAGGCACCUUCUGGACAUGGAUGAGCAGUCCAAAGCAUGGACGAUUUACCGCCCAGAAGAUUCUGGAAGAAGAGCAAAGUCAGCCUCAAUUAUUUACCAGCACAAUCCAAUCAACAUGAUCUGCCAGAAUGGACCCAACAGCUGGAUUUCCAUUGCAAACUCCGAAGCCAUCCAGAUUGGACACGGGAACAUCAUUACAAGACAGACAGUCUCCAGGGAGGACGGUUCCGCCGGUCCACGCCACCUCCCUUCAAUGGCACCAGGUGAUUCCUCAACUUGGGGGACCCUAGUUGAUCCCUGGGGGCCCCAGGACAUCCACAUGGAGCAGUCCAUACUGAGACGGGUGCAGCUGGGACACAGCAAUGAGAUGAGGCUCCACGGCGUCCCGUCCGAGGGCCCUGCCCACAUCCCCCCUGGCAGCCCCCCAGUCUCUGCCACUGCUGCCGGCCCAGAAGCUUCGUUUGAAGCAAGAAUUCCCAGUCCAGGAACUCACCCUGAGGGGGAAGCCGCCCAGAGAAUCCACAUGAAAUCGUGCUUUCUCGAGGACGCCACCAUCGGCAACAGCAACAAAAUGUCUAUCAGCCCAGGGGUGGCUGGCCCAGGAGGAGUCGCAGGGUCUGGAGAGGGGGAGCCAGGGGAGGACGCAGGACCCCUGGGAGCCCCAUGCACAUGUGACACCUGCAGAACGGGGACCAGGAGCGCAUUCCUCAGGACUCAGGCCAUGAGCAUCUGGGAGCAUGGACUUCCUUCCAGCAGCAAAGGGAGUCUCUGAGACCUCCAAGGCCACUGGGGACCCUUGGGAGGGCAUGUGCCACCAGAUGGGGAUCCGGCUUAGGACCCCACAGCACAGGCUGUCUGCAGAGCCCUGUGGGUCUCAAGCCAGACCAUUGAAGACUUCUCUUUCCGGAAAGAACACAGCACUGUGUUUUUUAAAAAUAGCCACACUUCUGGGUGUAGUGGCUCAUGCCUGUAAUCCCAGCACUUUGGGAGGCCGAGGCAGGUGGAUCACGAGGUCAGGAGAUCGAGACCAUCCUGGCUAACACGGUGAAACCCUCUCUCUACUAAAAAAUACAAAAAAUUAGCCAGGCAUGGUGGCGGGCACAUGUAGUCCCAGCUACUCAGGAGGCUGAGGCAGGAGAAUGGCGUAAACCUGGGAGGCGGAGCUUGCAGUGAGCCAAGAUCAUGCCACUGCACUCCAGCCUGGGCGACAGAGCAAGACUCUGUCUCAAAAAAAAAAAAUGGUCACACUCCCAGAUUUGCCCUGCAACAUCCUGACAUUCUUCCCUAAGGUUCUAGCAGAAGAGCUGAUGACAUCUUUGCCCCUUGCCCUGACCCACCCACCUCUCUUUGUCCCCAAGAGACAUCAAUAGGCAUAGCUCAGAGAUAUUAUGGGUGAGUUCCAGAACACCCCAAUAAAGCAAGUCAUGCAAAUUUUUGAUUUCCCAGUGCAUAUACAAGUUAUAUUCACACGAUGCUCUAGUCUAUUAGGUGUGCACUGAAUCACGUUAUAUCUAAAAAACAAUGUACAUACCUUAAUUUUAAAAUACUUUAUUGCUAAAAAUGCUAACCAUCACCUGUCUUCUGCCAGUCAUCAUCUCUAUGCUGGUGGAGGUCUUGCCUUGAUGUUGAUGGCUGCUGACUGAUCAGGGUGGUGGUUGCUGAAGGUGGAGGCAGCUGUGGCAAUUUCUUAAAAUAAGGCAACAAUGAAGUUCGCUGCAGCAAUGAACUCUUCCUUUCAUGAAAGCUUUCUCUGUAGCAUGCAAUGCUGUUUGAUGGCAUUUUACUCAUACUAGAACUUCUUUCAAAAUUGGAACCAAGACUCCCCAACCCUGCUGCUGCUUUACCAACUAGGUUUAUAUAGCAGUCUAAAUCCUUUGUUGUCAUUUCAAGAAUGUUCGCAGUAUCUUCACCAGGAAUAGAUGCCAUCUCAAGAAACCACUUUCUUUGCUCAUCCAUAAGAAGCAACUCAUCUGUUCAAGCUUUCUCAUGAGAUUGCAGCAAUUCAGUCCCAUCUUCAUAUUCCACUUCUAAUUUGUGUUUUCCUGCUAUUUCCACCACAUUUGCAGUUGCUGCCUUCACUGAAGUCUUGAACCCCUCAAAGUCAUUCAUGAAAUUUGGAAUCAACUUCUUCCAGACUCCUGUGAAUGUUGAUAGUUUGACCUCCUCCCAUGAAUCACAAAUGUUCUUAACGGCAUGUAGAUUGGUGAUCUUUUCCAGAAGAUUUUCAACUUACUUUGCCCAGAUCCAUCUGAGGAAUCACUCUGUGUUGCACUUAUGCCCUCAUAAAAUAUAUUUAUUGAAGAAUAAGAAGUGAAUGUUGAAGUUACUCCUUAAUCCAUGGGCUGCAGAAUGGAUGCUGUGCUAGCAGGCAUGAAAACAAUGUUAAUUCUUUUUUACAUCUCCAUCAGAGCCCGUGGAUGAACAGGUGCAUUGUCAACGAGUAGUAAAAAAAAAAUUUUUUUUUGGCCCUCAAUCCAGGAUGCGGAACACUCAGAUCCUGUGGUAUGGACGAUGAGCAGUGAAAUGUUCAAAGGAAUAUUUUGUUUUCUAAGCAGUGAUAUUUGUGGCACCCCAAAGCAAAGCAAUUAUAAUAGCAACAUCAAAGAUCACUGGUCACAGAUCACCAUAACACAUAUAAUCAAA